CAAGGAGAGGUGGUGCCAGAAGUGGUAGACUGCCUGGAAGUCUAAGAUCCAGGGCUGAAGCUUGUCAGGAACACAGAGAAGGCGUGGGAGCAGGAAAGGCCUUGGAGGAGGGGCCGGUGGGGGGAAAACAUGCAGAAUACCAUCGGAGCUCCUCUGGAACAUGUCCUUGUCUUCUCAGAGUGUGAAGUGUGUGUGUGACAGUGCUUUUCUGAGGACUCAGGUGACCUGGAGGCUGGAGAACAGCAUGGAGCAAGGAAAACAAAGACGAUGUGCUGGAGUGUAUGUUGCUUUCAUAAUUAUGUGAAAGAAAAUGUAGAGAAAUUUGAAAGGAGAACUGGUUAUCAGUAGUGCCAUCCUGCUCAAAUAUCUUCAAAUACACACCACCAUCCAUGUGUGGGUUGAUUAAGGAGCUGACGUUCAUUAGAUCUGCAGUCUCCUGACCUGAUGUGCAUCAGAAUCACUGGGAGAACAAACAAACAAAAAUGAAUCCAAAACAAGCAACGAACAGACAGAUUCUCAAGUCUUGCCAAGUCCAAAGAUUGAUUUGGUGGAGAAAUUGUACUUUGAAAGCUGCCCAGGUAAUAAUUCUGGCAUAUAGCCAGGUUUGUAAAAUCUUGAAUGAACUGUCUUGGGCAAACAAAGGAAUUCUAGUUUUUUAUCUGCCAGCUUUUAAAAAUUUCCCAUCUUUGAAAGGAAAGUGUUACAUUAAUCACAAACUCCCAUGGUCAAGGUGAUAGCAAAACAACACUGUAUUCUGGUUGGAACCUUGGAACAUUCAGACCUUGGAGAGAACAAGCAAAACAUUUUCAUAAUUAUGAUGUCAUGUGGGUUGAAAGCAGAGUCUUGAUUUGGGUUCCGCUGCUGCCCAUAAACAGCUGGGUGGGAAUUUGGGUCAAUCCCUUCACUUCUCUAUAGCUCCCUUUCCUCAUCCCCAAAAUGAGAUGCUUGUUUGAUUUCAGAGUUUCCUGCUAGGUCUACAAUUCUGUGAUUAGCAUCUCUGCUCUCUGGAAUAUUCUUUUAUGUCCGGUGACUUAAAUCAGAUUAUCAAAUAUUUAUUGAACACCUGCUAUGUGUCCAGAAACUGAAAUUAUUUGAAAAAUUGGAUCUGUGGGGGAAAGAAGGGGCUGAGAAGGGACAAAUACUAGUAAAGAGAAAUGGAUGGAGCUCAACAACUAAGAAUUUUUGAACUCUAAUAAAUGUUUCUACUUUCUCGCU
rnacentral:lncRNA from 1 species